UGCCCAGCAGCUCCUAUCCCUACCUCCUCGUGGUACUGGCCGGGGUAUGAGCAACCUUAGGGAAGAUCGGAUAACCAACCCCGGUGGGAACUUUGGUCGUAUGCUGAUAGGGAAUUGG
rfam:Aedes aegypti strain Liverpool supercont1.691 genomic scaffold, whole genome shotgun sequence.